AAUAAUGACAGUGUAGAUGUUGGAAUUAUUUGUUAUUUGUAGUUUUCAGUUACUUAUACCUUUCAAAAUAACGAAGGAUAAAACAGAACUUUGUAAAGUGUUAACUCUGGUUCUUUCAGUAUGUUAAGAGAAACAGAAUAUGCAAAACUGUAAGCCUCAGACAACACAUGAAUUAAUAAUGUAAAUCCUGGAACCCUGGACAAGUUUUAUUUGGUUGUCUUGGAGACGAUCUUCAAUAUAUUGGUGAUGCAAAUGCAGUUACACGUUCCAUUGACCUUCCUUUCAGCCACGAAUGACUGGUGUCUGUUUGUUGUCUAAAGUCCUCCUAUUAAGAAAUCCCACAGCCAUCUUUACGUAUCAGGACAAAAAUAAGGGAUUCAGAGACAUCAAGAGCAAUCAAUGUGGACUUCAGUUAACACGUGUUACCAGUAGAACUGCUGAAAAUUUCAAUGGAAACAUCCAAAAAGAAAUCACUUCAUUGGUUCAUUGGACAUGAACAAAUACAGUCUAUGAUUUGUAGAGGAUCAUUAGUCAUGCCCUCUAGGUUCAUUAACUGAUAUGUGAAAAGUUUCCUUCUCUCUUACCCAGGAGACUUCCUGAGAGUGAAACUCCAUCAUAGAUCAGCAUGGGUCAUCAGACCAAAUUUGAAGAUCAUUAUCUUAAAAGCCACGUGGGAUGCUGAAAAUCAUGGAUGGGAAGCAAAGAGACCUAGGUGAGAAUGCAUGCUUGCUCUUUGUCAUUCAGAAGAACAAUUCAAACCUUGGGCUCCAAAGUUAGGCUGUCCAGGUCUAGAUCCUGCCUCUGUUUCAAGAUACGUCACCUUUCUUUAAGUUCCUAAGUCUCACCAUUCUCUCCAGGUGAUAUUGGUAUAAUAACAAUGCCUGUGAUUAUUGUGAAAAUUAAAUGGGAUAAUUUAUCC